rnacentral:ncRNA from 1 species
UUUUGGUAAGCAGAACUGCGAUGCGGGAUGACCGAACGCGAGGUUAAGGUGCCGGAAUGCACGCUCAUCAGACACCACAAAAGGUGUUAGUUCAUCUAGACAGCCCGACGGUGGCCAUGGAAGUCGGAAUCCGCUAAGGAGUGUGUAACAACUCACGGGCCGAAUGAACUAGCCCUGAAAAUGGAUGGCGCUCAAGCGUGCUACCCAUACCUCGCCGUCGGGGUAGAAACGAUGCCCCGACGAGUAGGCAGGCGUGGAGGUCCGUGACGAAGCCUUGGGAGUGAUCCCGGGUCGAACGGCCUCUAGUGCAGAUCUUGGUGGUAGUAGCAAAUACUCAAAUGAGAACUUUGAGGACUGAAGUGGGGAAAGGUUCCAUGUGAACAGCAGUUGGACAUGGGUUAGUCGAUCCUAAGGUAUAGGGAAGUUCCGUUUGAAAGGCGCCCUCGUGCGCCGUGUACCGAAAGGGAAGCCGGUUAAUAUUCCGGCACCUGGAUGUGGAUUCUCCACGGCAACGUAACUGAACGCGGAGACAUCGGCGGGGGUCCUGGGAAGAGUUCUCUUUUCUUCUUGACAGCCUAUCACCCUGAAAUCGGUUUGUCCGGAGCUAGGGUUCCACGGCUGGCAGAGCCCUGCACCUUUGCAGGGUCCGGUGCGCCCCCGACGAUCCUUGAAAAUCCGCGGGAAGGAAUAGUUUUCACGCCAGGUCGUACUCAUAACCGCAGCAGGUCUCCAAGGUGAACAGCCUCUAGUUGAUAGAACAAUGUAGAUAAGGGAAGUCGGCAAAAUGGAUCCGUAACUUCGGGAUAAGGAUUGGCUCUAAGG